GGGCAAUGUAUCUCCUUGAAAAUGAAUAUAAGGGAGAGUGUAACAGCCAAGGGGGAGGCUGCUGGAAGGAGGAGGACUGGAAGGUUGUGACAUGGAGAAGAGUUCUGUGUGAGAGAGAGCUGCCAACUUCACAAUAAAGGCAUCUCAGACCCAUGUCUGCUAAAGCUCUCCAACAGUUGCAGCAGUCUUCUCAUUUCUUUCCGAGGAGCAAGAAUGAUCCUCACCAGUGCUUCCAAAUGGAAUUUCCUCAUCUCUAGUAUCUGCUUCACAGAUCAAUUCCCGGCAGCCUCUUGAUAGCAGCAAGUGCAUAACACGCACUAGAAGUGAUGACUGUUGAAAUUCCAUUCUGACCCUCAGGAAUCAGUAGAAAGUGCACAGACCACCAUGUUAACACUCCUCCCAGUUGUAAAGAGCUAGAAAUGGCAGACUAAGCAGCAUUAUUUUUAAUGGCAUCUUGUCAGCACUCUGCUCAGCCCCCCAGGAAAUAACCACCACAGAAUCUUGUUUUGAUUCCAAAAUCUAACCUUAUCACUCCAGACUUUGCAGCUCCAUCGUUUCCCUGUCCUGGAAUGCCAUAUGCUUCGUCUGCUCCAGGGAAUGCCUUUAUGCUUUAGACAUUAAGGUAAUCACUGCAUUUACAACUGGAGAUUUGAAAUGCUGGCUCAGAUUCUCUUGACAUUCCCCUGCCGAAGCUAAAGGGAGUUCUGAAGCUCUUGCUAAAUUUGACAUUGUGCAGAUGUCAAUGAAAACACAACUCCGUUACUGUGCUUCCAACAUACCAACCUACAUCUACAAAGUCUCUACUCCACAGUGGCAGGAUUACUCCUACUGGUCUCUGAUGCAAUUUGGCUACCAGAUUACAUGAAGGGAGGUCAUUCCAAUGUCGAACAUACAUCAGUGUCAUUAAUCUACACCAAUGUCCAUCGUGUUGUGGAAUGAUUCCACACUCACAUUUGGGGAGCUCACAAAUAGCUACAUGAGACCACCCACCCAGUAUCCAUCCAGAACAGGAGAAAAAGAAAGAUUUUCAUGUAAAUUUGAUCCUGACAAAUAAGCCAGGCCAGGUUAUUUAUGCCUGAGACAUGUGGUACCACCUUUCCUUCUCCCUUUCAACACCAGUGAUACAUAAUCCUGGAUCAGGAAUGAGCCAGGUGUUAGUUAUGAAUUCAAAGCAACUCUCAGUAGACCCCACACAGUAACUUGCUACUCACAUCCCACAUUGGGACACAGAUUGUAUAAACAAGUACCAUUGUGCAGAGACUCUACAUAGUUAUUGCAAACUGCACUUCUGGAUUUCUCAUUGCACAAUAUAGGACUCUUGAACCUCCUACAGGCAACCUCUGUUAUGGAUCACAGAACCAAAUGCAAUCUCCACAUGCAGCCCAAUGACUUGAGAUAUUCCUCCCAGUGGAUUUGACUUCUAUACUCUAUGAAGGAAAUUGUAUGCCACUAGGCUAAGUGGCACAACAUUGAUGAAACACCUUCCAGAGCAACAAAGGAUUGAAGAUCUGACUCACCAUACUGGCAGCGUGAACCCUGAAACCCCUCUGAACACUGGCACACCCGAGAUAUGUCUUCAGAGCAUUGCCCUCCAUUGAAGCAAGUACCUACAGAGCACAGUGCUGUAGGGGGGGGAAAGAGACAGCGUUUGGGAUUUUUACUUUUAAUGUUACAAAUCCUGCUUGAAAUAGCAAACACACACACUCCGUAGAGCCAAGCGAAAAAAGUAGACACUUUAAAAACACUUUUCACACAUUACAUGACAGCAAACCUGAAUUUGCUAACAAAUGCACCAGCAAGCUACAGCUAACUGCAUCUUCCCAACAAGUUUUAUUGAAGGAUAUUUGUUUCUGAACAGAUUUGCUACUUUCACACUUGACUUUACUAUGUAUACUCAUAAGAAGGCCAUAGGGGAAGCAGCCUACAAUAUUAGACAAUUGCAACUUACAGUGCAGGCAUCCAGGUUCGUCAUCAUUCUUCCUGUGCCAUCCAGGACAACAUUUAAAGGCAGUGUGAUGCUCCAUGCUGUACACUUGCUUAUAGAUUGUAUAAUAGCCAGUCCUUUUUUAAAAAAACAAAAAGAGGUAUUUCAAGAAAUCAAAAAAGCUGUGUACCCCUCCCCACCACCACCACCACACACAGGCUCAUUCUCAAAACCAGAAGGCAAGUAGGAAGAGCAUCUAGCCAGGUGCCAAGCCCCAUGCCUACUCUUAAGAAACAGUUGUGUGUCGGAAAAAAUGGAGGUGGGAGGAAGGGGAAGCAAUUGUGUGCUAGCUGUGAUCUGGGUAGGACAGCACAGGACAUGCUUUUCCUCCACCCUCAGUACGGUGCGGGGUACACCAGGUGAGAUGGUCUUCACCCUCCUACCCAGAUUGCAGCCAGCACACAAUCACUUCCUCUUUAUUAUUGAGAGAUUCAAUCACAAUUGAAUGGUUGAGUUUCUCUGACCUCCAUUUUUGUUGACAUAAAACUGUUUCUCAGGAGCAUGGUUUGGAGCCUGGCUGGGUGGAUGGUAGGCUGGACUCCUACCCUGCUUUUUGGUUGUGAGAAUAGGCACACACCGUCCUACUUCAGAGUUAUUCAGACACCAGAUACAGCCCACAUUCAGCACAUAACAAACGAACAGCAACUCCUUUCUAGAGUAUGAUUUUCAGGUGCAUUGUCACUUUUAGAAAUGCAAUGACUUUCAGACUUCCUACCCACAGGGAACACAUUGCACACCAAUUACCCAUUUAUUCUCAGUGAACCUGCUACAGACGCAAGACCUGGGGUUUGUUCCAGGGUGCAUUCAGUACAGGUGAGCUGCUGGUCAUUUGGUCUCACCAUCAUGCCUGACAAAUAGGAUGUCUUGGUGUGUUUUAGGUGUGCUCUCCUUAAUCUUUAAGUUGUCCGAGAGGGCCAGUGAUGAACAAACUGUCUUUCAGGGCAACUUGCCUGCCAUUAUUGAUCUUUUCAGCAAAGGACCCAAGGUUCCCCAGGAUACCAUUUUAAAAGCACUCAUAAAAGGAAAAAUGAUUAAAGUAGAGUGAAUCUGACUCUAAAUGUCUCUGAUCCUUAUUACUGUUCUUAAGUGUUGUGAUUCAAAGGCUGAAAUACUGCUCAUUAAAUUCAAUUAGAGCUUUGUUAUUAAGCUCAAGGGAGAACAGGAGUGUGCCCAAUGUCCUUAUGCCAAUUUUGCUUUGACUUAACGCUGAACCUGUGUUCUAGAUCAGUACAAGGAGGUUUAUAAUGCACUCAUUCCCCACUUUUCUGAGCAGUGAGAAGAAGUUCCAGGAGUUGCAGUGCUACUUGAAUAUUGGCUUUCUUUGGAGGAGAGAUCGCUGGAGGCUUAUGGUAUCUUUGUUAUAUUUGGCUGAUUUGCAGAUAUACACACUGAGCCCUAGAUGGAGGAUAAAUGGCAGAACAAUCCUACAAGUCAGCAUCAGGUUACAUCAGCUCCUAGAGAACAGUCCUGCACCUGAAGAUGCUUUAGUUCUCUGCCCAGCUUUUUCAUUCCAGCCUCUCCGAAAUUUGGUCGGCCUCACUCAGAAGCUGCCCCAGAACUGCUGUUUCUUUUCACACACCUUGCUGGGGAAGGAUGGACGAGCCACCUCACAAUUACACCUGCACCCCUACGUGAAGAAUAUGAUCUUACAAGACACUUUAUAGCAUUCCCCUUAAGAUAGGGGCUCCUAACCUUGGGACCCUAGAUGAGGAUGAUGUUCUUGGUUUGCAUUGGAAUGGGUGACUAUAUGUGAGCACUGUAAAAUAUUCCCCUUAGGAAAUGGCCAUAGCUCAAUGGGAGAGCAUCUGCAUGCUUGCAUGCAGAAGGUCCCAGGUUCACGAUCUGGCAUCUCUGGUUAGGGCUGGGAGAGACUCCUGCCUGAAACCCUGGAGAAGCCGCUGUCAGUCAGUGUAGACAAUACUGGGCUAGAUGGUCCAAUGGUUUGACUCUGUAUAAGGCAGUUCCUAAAAGGUGGGUGAAAUGUGCUCUCCUCCAGAGACAACAGGGUUGGGUUUUUUGGUUUUUACACCCUUAGCUUGAGAUGGGGACCUUUUUACAGUUAUUAAACUGCUUUACCAGGCUAACUUUCUCUGUAUUGUUCCAGUUUUUGAUGCUGCCAAAAUCAAGCAUAUGAGAAGCUAUUUUACAUCAUCAUCUGAGUGAUAAAAAAUGAGUUACAUUGAA